GACGAACGCUGGCGGCGUGCCUAAUACAUGCAAGUCGAACGAGAGCGACCGGUGCUUGCACUGGUCAAUCUAGUGGCGAACGGGUGAGUAACACGUGGGUAACCUGCCCAUCAGAGGGGGAUAACAUCCGGAAACGGAUGCUAAAACCGCAUAGGUCUUCGAACCGCAUGGUUUGAAGAGGAAAAGAGGCGCAAGCUUCUGCUGAUGGAUGGACCCGCGGUGCAUUAGCUAGUUGGUGAGGUAACGGCUCACCAAGGCCGUGAUGCAUAGCCGACCUGAGAGGGUGAUCGGCCACAUUGGGACUGAGACACGGCCCAAACUCCUACGGGAGGCAGCAGUAGGGAAUCUUCCGCAAUGGACGCAAGUCUGACGGAGCAACGCCGCGUGAGUGAAGAAGGUUUUCGGAUCGUAAAACUCUGUUGUUGGAGAAGAACAAGUGCUAGAGUAACUGUUAGCGCCUUGACGGUAUCUAACCAGAAAGCCACGGCUAACUACGUG
rnacentral:rRNA from 1 species